ACACCGAUGGUGAAGCGGUUAUCAUGCUUGCCUUCCAUAAAAUCGGUUCCAGGUGUGUCAGCAAGCGGCAGGGGUUCGACUCCCCUUCGGUGUA